rnacentral:rRNA from 1 species
GCCCGAGACCGAUAGCGCACAAGUAGAGUGAUCGAAAGAUGAAAAGCACUUUGAAAAGAGAGUCAAACAGUACGUGAAAUUGUUGAAAGGGAAGCGCUGGUCCCCAGACGUGGGCGCGAUCGGUUCCCCCGGUCCUCGGAGCGGGCUACUCCAUCGCGUCCAGGCCCACAUCGGUUGGGGUGGUCGGUGAAAGGUCCCGGGAAUGUAUCGACUCUCCGGGGUCGACUUACAGCCCGGGGCGUCAUGCGACCCACCCCGACCGAGGAACGCGCUCCGGCUCGGAUGUGGGCGUAAUGGGGAUCAGCGGCCCGUCUUGAAACACGGACCAAGGAGUCGAACCGCCGUGCGAGUGUUUGGGUGUCAAGCCCCGACGCGGAAUGAAAGUGAACGGAGGUCAGAACCCCGUCCCGGGGCGCAUGAUCGACCGAUCCGGAUGUCUUCGGAUGGAUUUGAGUAUGAGCACGGCGGGUCGGACCCGAAAGAUGGUGAACUAUGCCUGGAUAGGGUGAAGCCAGAGGAAACUCUGGUGGAGGCUCGCAGCGGUUCUGACGUGCAAAUCGAUCGUCAAAUCUGGGUAUAGGGGCGAAAGACCAAUCGAACCAUCUGGUAGCUGGUUCCUGCCGAAGUUUCCCUCAGGAUAGCAGUAACGGCGUCAGUUUUAUGAGGUAAAGCGAAUGAUUAGCGGCCUGGGGGUGGCAACCACCUUCACCGAUUCUCAAACUUUA